GCUCCGGCCCUGGGCGGAGCCUACACGGCUCACCUUUAUUUAAUACGUCUACGCUUUACACCGUGUUUUCAAGUCAUACGACAUUUAUUAGGCGCCUACUAGCCUCCAGGAAGACCGGAGGGUCGAGGGUGCCGAGGGUCCCUGCAGUAGCCAACGUUGAGCGCGCCCCGUACUCGGAUGGAAGGAAGAUUCGGACUGGAGAAGGCACUUGACAGCCCCCAGAGCGCAUGCGCGAGCGCCUCUCUGACCUCCUCCUCCUCCUCCUCCUCUGGCACUUUGGUUUCUCCCAGCACUUCCGGAGGUUCAGAGGCUUACGUGAUCGCCGGGAGUGCACGCCCGCUUCCUGCUUCCGGCCCGUGCGGAAGUGACGUUGUCGGCUCUCUGUUCCCUUUGCACGCGGCUGUCGGUUGCGGAGUGAGCUCGCGGCUAGAGGAUUAUGCCCGGUAAGCUUCUGUCAGAGGCCGAAGUCGAGUCGGAGGCGCCCAUGGAGGCGACGGAGCAGACGCGGAAGCACAAACAAAAGAAAGAUAAAAAAGAGAAAUCAAAAAAUGAGAAGCCAGAAAAAAAGGGCAAGGUAGAGACUGAGGAACUUGAUUCCCCUAAGCCCAAGAAGGUAAAAAGGGAGGAGCUUCCAGAAGAAGUCAUUUCUCCAAAGCCCAAAAAGGCCAAGAAGAAAGAACAGCCCCCAGAAGAUGAGGAAGACUCUUCCCCUAAAUCCAAAAAGGCCAAAAAGAGCAAGGAGGGGUCUGGGGAGGAGCCCAGGAGGCUGAAAGAGAAGGAGGAUGCCUCUAGCAAUGACAUCUGCUCUAAGGCAAAAAAGAGCAAAGAGAAAGAAGAGCUUUCUGAGAAACCGAAGAAGGCCAAGAAGAAGGAGGGAGAAGUAAAUGGAGACACAGGAGAGGAAAGGCCAAAGUCACAGAGGGCAUCUGUGACUAAUGGACUGCCCCACUCCAAGCAUGCGUCUGAUUCUGAUUCUGAGGAGUCAUCCAGUGAGGAAAGUGACAGCGAGGCUGAGCAGGAAAAUGAUCUUCAUAAAAGAGUAGAAAGCCAUGCUCUUAGUUCUAAGGGAUUAAAAUCCCAUUUGCAAACUGGACUGACAAAACAGUUUAAAGGAGAAGAUGAUGAAGAAGAAGAAGAUGAUGAUGAUGAUGAUGAUGAAGAAGAAUUGGAGAAACCCAAAAAAGGUGAAAAGAAGGAAAAUGAGAAAGAUUCAAAAUCUGAAGACACUGAGGUACGUCUAGACUGGCUAUUCUGUGGACUUGCUACAUUUCAGGCAUUUUCUAGGAAUAGAAUUUAAAUGUAAA
rnacentral:lncRNA from 1 species